ACGCCACACCUUCUACCUGUCGCUUCAACACCAACACCAACGUUUGCUCUCCCCUCUGGGUUUUGGCCUUUGUGGGAGACAUCGACGCCGGUUUCCUCAGUACCUCUGGAUCUACUAUCCGGACCGUUCCCUGCUGAAGACUCGACGUCGGCAUCUGGGCUAUCCGCACCUCCACAGCCACCGUCGCCGACACCAUCAGCACAGCCAGCAACCACAGACAAGCCGCAGACAUCGCCCCGGAUACCAAAACAAAAAGAAAGAAAUACUUGUGUGUGUGUGUGUGUGUGUGCAUGAAAAGAUCACCCGGAACCCGGAAAUCAGACACGACCGGGAACUCAUCCGGACCCUGUGGAUGCUGAUCAUUCAUUGAACAGGUCGCUCCAACUGUUCAACGACGAUCAGUCAGAGGUCGAAGGAGUAGGGCACCCGCUCGUUGAUUCUUUAACUCACCAGACGCCUCAGCUGAUAG